AGAAUUAAGAGCUUGGGAGACACUCAGGAGGAAGCAGAGGGGAGAGGAAAUGCUGCCUUUGGAGCCAACAACUAUGGAUGUGUUGUCCAGAGGAAACCUGUGGAUCAAGCAAGGAUGCCUACAAAAAGACUAAUUUCCCAGUAAUCCAACUUAUUCCAAACACUCCACCCACAAGGCAGCAAGUGAGGGAAAAAAUAGAAUUCUGCUUGAAGAUGCUUUUCAGUCAACUCUCUCUAGCUCAUAAACCAGCGCUUCUCCAAGAGUGUUAUGAACCCUGCACCCUCCUUGUCAAUGCUGAUUUCUGCACCCAUCUCCCAGUUACCAUCUGGAAUAGAAUCCAGUAGUGAUCCACCAAUGGACAAUUUUUGCUAUGAAGGAGGAAAGAGAGGACAGAUUUGAUUACAACAAAAGCAUCCCAAGAAUGUGUCCUGCAUGAGCUCUUCAGGCUGUGAAAUCUUGAACUUCUACACCCAUCCUUGGCUGGCUUUUUCCAUGUGAGGCCAUAUAGAGGUACUACCACCCUUGCCCUGCUUCAGUCCUCCUCUCGCCCGCCUGAGUUUCAAGUGCAAUGGAAAUGUGCUUAGUUGAUGGUGCCAACCCCUACCUGCACAGCCACAAGGUAGCUGCACAGAGGUGACCCAUGCAAUACAUUCAAUCAACACUGAGCCCUUAUUAACCACUUCAACUUUCUACCUAACCAACAGUGUCAUCUGUGGCAGCAAAACCAAUUGCAUAAAGUCUUUUUUUUUUUUUUUUUUUGAGAUGGAGUCUUGCUGUGUCACCGAGGCUGGAGUGCAGUGGCGCUAUCUUGGUUCACUGCAAGCUCUGCCUCCUGGGUUCACACCAUUCUCCUGCCUCAGCCUCCCGAGUAGCUGGGACUACAGGGCCCACCACCACACCCGGCUAAUUUUUUGUAUUUUUAGUAGAGACGGGGUUUCACCAUGUUAACCAGGAUGGUCUCGAUAUCCUGACCUCGUGAUCUGCCCGCCUUGGCCUCCCAAAGUGCUGGGAUUACAGGUGUGAGCCAAGGCGCCUGGCCGCAUAAAGUCUUUUCUAGUGGAUUCUUCAGCUUCCUGUUCUCUACUGAUGGCCAUAGACUCUUGGGUGGGCAGAGGAGUGGGAAGGAGUUAUUGCUAAGGGUCCAUGAACCUGUAACUCCUCAUCAUUCCACCCCACUAGGAUUUAAUGAAUCCUUCCAAUGUGUCAGACUGUGUGGAGUAUGCUUUGUGUAAUAGGUUGAACCAUAGAAACUGCCAUUCUUGUAGGUAAAAAAUGGUUGUUUAUGUAAGCAAUUUUCCAUGAUCAACCUAAUACAUGCCAUCUUACUUCAUCUUUGAAGUAACUUAUGAGGUAUUACCACUGUCAUUUUCCAGAAGAAGAAAGCUGAGGCUCAGAGUGAUCAAGAAUACCCAGCCAGAACGUGGCAUCUGGGACUUCUGUCUCCACUCUGUUACCCACCAGCACCCUUGGGCCCUAUUGCUUGGCUAGAUGGGCACUCUGCAUGUAUCAGGCAUUGUCUGUCACCUGAGUCACUACAUGUAUGACAUCAUAUGUCUAUUACCAGUCUCAAAUAUACACUAAGAAAAUAAGAUUUCAUUAAAGUAUUUUCUAAAUUCA